CGGAACGGGUGAGUAACGCGUGAGUAACCUGCCUCAAAGAGGGGGACAACAGUUGGAAACGACUGCUAAUACCGCAUAAGCCCACGGCUCGGCAUCGAGCAGAGGGAAAAGGAGUGAUCCGCUUUGAGAUGGCCUCGCGUCCGAUUAGCUGGUUGGUGAGGUAACGGCCCACCAAGGCGACGAUCGGUAGCCGGACUGAGAGGUUGAACGGCCACAUUGGGACUGAGACACGGCCCAGACUCCUACGGGAGGCAGCAUG
rnacentral:rRNA from 1 species